GAUGAACGCUGGCGGCGUGCCUAAUACAUGCAAGUCGAGCGAACAGACGAGGUGCUUGCUCCUCUGACGUUAGCGGCGGACGGGUGAGUAACACGUGGAUAACCUACCUAUAAGACUGGGAUAACUUCGGGAAACCGGAGCUAAUACCGGAUAAUAUAUUGAACCGCAUGGUUCAAUAGUGAAAGACGGUUUUGCUGUCACUUAUAGAUGGAUCCGCGCCGCAUUAGCUAGUUGGUAAGGUAACGGCUUACCAAGGCAACGAUGCGUAGCCGACCUGAGAGGGUGAUCGGCCACACUGGAACUGAGCCACGGUCCAGACUCCUACGGGAGGCAGCAGUAGGGAAUCUUCCGCAAUGGGCGAAAGCCUGACGGAGCAACGCCGCGUGAGUGAUGAAGGUCUUCGGAUCGUAAAACUCUGUUAUUAGGGAAGAACAAAUGUGUAAGUAACUAUGCACGUCUUGACGGUACCUAAUCAGAAAGCCACGGCUAACUACGUG
rnacentral:rRNA from 1 species